UCAGGAUGAACGCUGGCGGCGUGCAUAACACAUUCAAGUCGAACGGGCAGUAUCCUCGGGGGUGCUGCUAGUGGCGGACGGGUGAGUAACGCGUGAGCAACCUGCCUCUGUGAGUGGAAUAACACAGGGAAACUUGUGCUAAUACCGCAUGACGAAGCGAAGCCGCAUGACUUUGCUUCCAAAGAUUUAUCGCACAGAGAUGGGCUCGCGUCCGAUUAGGCAGUUGGUGAGGUAACGGCUCACCAAACCGACGAUCGGUAGCCGGACUGAGAGGUUGAACGGCCACAUUGGAACUGAGAUACGGUCCAGACUCCUACGGGAGGCAGCAGUGGGGAAUAUUGGGCAAUGGGCCGCAAGCCUGACCCAGCGACGCCGCGUGAGGGAAGAAGGUCUUCGGAUUGUAAACCUCUUUGACAGGGGACGAAGUAAGUGACGGUACCCUGAAAACAAGCCACGGCUAACUACGUGCCAGCCGCCGC
rnacentral:rRNA from 1 species